rnacentral:tRNA from 1 species
GACCUUACCCAUUCAUACACCGAGCAUUGAUAUAGGUGAUGAUUGUGGUCAUCCCAAGGUCGUGCGUAGAUUUGGUAAUCCACAAGGCUUUCAAACAAUUAUAGGUUCGGUAUUAUGUUCGUACCUAUGGGCUAUUAGCUCAGGUGGUUAGAGCGCACCCCUGAUAAGGGUGAGGUCCCUGGUUCGAGUCCAGGAUGGCCCACCUGAAAAGAGUUAGGAGUUAAGAGUUAAGAGUUAAGAGUAAAAAAGAAUUCAUAACUCAUAACUCAUCACUCAUAACUAAUAUUAAGGGGGUAUAGCUCAGUUGGUAGAGCGCUGCCUUUGCAAGGCAGAUGUCAGCGGUUCGAGUCCGCUUACCUCCACCAAAAUUAUUAAAUAAUAUUGGAAAAUUUCAGCACCCAGACUUUUAUAGUAAGUAAAAAAGUUGGAAUGCUGGAUUGUUAUCCAGUCAGAACCUUGAAAACUGCAUAUUCACGCGAUAGAUAAUUGUUGUAGGUAGUACUUAAUAGGUAGUAAAUCUAUGAAUUAAGUGUGAAUCCAACGAAUCCUAUUUUGUAAAAUUUGAUUGUAUGGAAUCAAUGU